rnacentral:rRNA from 1 species
CAGCAGCCACGGUAAUGCGUAGGUGGCAAGCGUUGUCCGGAAUUAUUGGGCGUAAAGGGCUCGCAGGCGGUUUCUUAAGUCUGAUGUGAAAGCCCCCGGCUCAACCGGGGAGGGUCAUUGGAAACUGGGAAACUUGAGUGCAGAAGAGGAGAGUGGAAUUCCACGUGUAGCGGUGAAAUGCGUAGAGAUGUGGAGGAACACCAGUGGCGAAGGCGACUCUCUGGUCUGUAACUGACGCUGAGGAGCGAAAGCGUGGGGAGCGAACAGGAUUAGAUACCCGCGUAGUCCCUGUCUCUUAUAC